rnacentral:rRNA from 1 species
GACGAACGCUGGCGGCGUGCUUAACACAUGCAAGUCGAACGGAAAGGCCCUGCUUGCGGGGUACUCGAGUGUCGAACGGGUGAGUAACACGUGGGUGAUCUGCCCUGCACUUCUGGGUAAGCCUUGGGAACUGGGUCUAAUACCGGAUAUGAGCCCUCUUUAUGGUGAUGGUUGGAAAGUUUUUUCGGUGGAGGAUGAGCUCGCGGCCUAUCAGCUUGUUGGUGGGGUAAUGGCCUACCAAGGCGGCGACGGGUAGCCGGCCUGAGAGGGUGGCCGGCCACAUUGGGACUGAGAUACGGCCCAGACUCCUACGGGAGGCAGCAGUGGGGAAUAUUGCACAAUGGGCGGAAGCCUGAUGCAGCGACGCCGCGUGGGGGAUGACGGCCUUCGGGUUGUAAACUCCUUUCGCUAGGGACGAAGCUUUUGUGACGGUACCUAGAGAAGAAGCACCGGCUAACUACGUG